CUUGUGGCUGCCUUAACAUGCAGUCGAACGGCAGCACGGGGGCAACCCUGGUGGCGAGUGGCGAACGGGUGAGUAAUACAUCGGAACGUGUCCUGUAGUGGGGGAUAGCCCGGCGAAAGCCGGAUUAAUACCGCAUACGACCUAAGGGAGAAAGCGGGGGAUCUUCGGACCUCGCGCUAUAGGGGCGGCCGAUGGCAGAUUAGCUAGUUGGUGGGGUAAAGGCCUACCAAGGCGACGAUCUGUAGCUGGUCUGAGAGGACGACCAGCCACACUGGGACUGAGACACGGCCCAGACUCCUACGGGAGGCAGCAGUGGGGAAUUUUGGACAAUGGGGGCAACCCUGAUCCAGCAAUGCCGCGUGUGUGAAGAAGGCCUUCGGGUUGUAAAGCACUUUUGUCCGGAAAGAAAACUUCGUCCCUAAUAUGGAUGGAGGAUGACGGUACCGGAAGAAUAAGCACCGGCUAACUACGGCCGCGC
rnacentral:rRNA from 1 species